GGGGUAGGGAAUCGUAAUUGCAUUGAUUCAUUCUAGUGGGGAUACUUAAUUCUGGAUGUUUUUAGUUAUUUGAUAAAAUCCUUAAUUGCUUUAGUAUAAUUAGUUUAAUAAAUCUCAAAAUAUUAUUGUGUUCCUUGCUUAGUUAAAAUUGGUCAAAAAUAACUAGUGUUUGACACAUUUGUCUCUGUGGGAUCGACUCUGACUUGCCCUGCUACAUUGUUAGGAGGAAUUGUUAGAAUUAUUAUUUGAUAGGUAUACGACAGCCUUGUCAGUA
rnacentral:lncRNA from 1 species